UCCAUCAUCAAGAUCAGAAUAUAGGUGGUUAGUAACAACUUCUUCUCCAACAUUUAGUAGCUCCUUAGUUGCGAAUGAUUGGAAUGAUGUUAUAGUCUGAUUUGAAGUUGUGAAACAUCGCGAGGAUAAUAUAACUAUAAAAAGCUGUGGUGUCCAUCUCACUGAGGUCCAUGAGAUAGCCAAAAAUGAUAUGAAGGGGCGAGGCCUAAUAUAUACAGAUUUUGAUGACUCAGACGAAUUGUCAAGCCGGGAUGUUACCAAAUCCUUCGCUCAAGAAGUUUCCGCCAUAUCAUAUUGCAAUGCAAUGUUGCAUGCAGUGAACUUCCCAGUUGAA